AUUGAACGCUGGCGGCAGGCCUAACACAUGCAAGUCGAGCGGAUGAAGGGAGCUUGCUCCUGGAUUCAGCGGCGGACGGGUGAGUAAUGCCUAGGAAUCUGCCUGGUAGUGGGGGAUAACGUCCGGAAACGGGCGCUAAUACCGCAUACGUCCUGAGGGAGAAAGUGGGGGAUCUUCGGACCUCACGCUAUCAGAUGAGCCUAGGUCGGACUAGCUAGUUGGUGGGGUAAAGGCCUACCAAGGCGACGAUCCGUAACUGGUCUGAGAGGAUGAUCAGUCACACUCGAACUGAGACACGGUCCAGACUCCUACGGGAGGCAGCAGUGGGGAAUAUUGGACAAUGGGCGAAAGCCUGAUCCAGCCAUGCCGCGUGUGUGAAGAAGGUCUUCGGAUUGUAAAGCACUUUAAGUUGGGAGGAAGGGCGGUAAGUUAAUACCUUGCUGUUUUGACGUUACCAACAGAAUAAGCACCGGCUAACUUCGUG
rnacentral:rRNA from 1 species